ACUCAAAUGAAUUGACGGGGGCCCGCACAAGCAGUGGAUCAUGUUGUUUAAUUCGAAGCUACGCGAAAAACCUUACCAGGGCUUGACAUGGAGCGGAUCGCCGUAGAGAUACGGUUUCCCCUUCGGGGGUCGCUCACACAGGUGGUGCAUGGUUGUCGUCAGCUCGUGUCGUGAGAUGUUGGGUUAAGUCCCGCAACGAGCGCAACCCUUAUUGUUAGUUGCUACGCAAGAGCACUCUAGCGAGACUGCCGGUGACAAACCGGAGGAAGGCGGGGACGACGUCAAAUCAUCAUGCCCCUUAUGUCCUGGGCUACAAACGUGAUACAAUGGCGCUUAACAGAGGGAAGCAAGACCGCGAGGUGGAGCAAAUCCCUAAAAGGCGUCUCAGUUCGGAUCGCAGGCUGCAACCCGCCUGCGUGAAGUCGGAAUUGCUAGUAAUCGCGGAUCAGCAAGCCGCGGUGAAUACGUUCCCGGGCCUUGUACACACCGCCCGU
rnacentral:rRNA from 1 species